rnacentral:lncRNA from 1 species
UUGAUACUGUGCUGUCAGCUGUUUAAAUCCGAUUAGCACAAGUGUUUCUUCCUCUUUCCAGUGAUUUGCCAUGUUCAUAAUGUGAUGCCAGCUAAUGACAGGGGAAGAGGCUAAACCAAGUUAUUUUCCCAUCGACUAAAUGGCAACUCGCAUUGCUCUUAAAAACGGUGAGCAGAAAAGGAAAUGUCCUUCAAGGAAACUGCUGGAUUAAGUUAACUACUUCUGACUGCUAAGAGCAGGAUAAAUGGGGAAAACAAAGGGAUUCGGACACUCGCACCCUCCUGAAAGCGGGAGAAUGAAUUGUUGUCGGACCACUGGAGGCCCAUUAAUCUUCCAGAUUUCUUGUUAGCACUGUCUGCCUUUAUAGUCAAGCUUGCGACUGGAAGCAUCCCUGGGGAUGCGUUCUGCAUGAUUCCCCUGACCGCUUGCAGGCCACGUCAUGCCCCAGAAGGUUGUUUUGGGAAUUGCUCUGCUGUCUCUCGGAGAGGUUUUUCAAUGUUGCCAUGACGUCCUCCUCCUGAAAUGCUGGAGCAGCCCAGGAUCUGCGGCGAGGGCAGCGCUGCCUUGUCGAAGCGACACGCAGACGCCAAGUUUUCUGUGUGUACAGUAUGGUAAGGACUGAAGAGAAGAUGCACAAAUGGAAUGGCUUUGCUUAAAGAAAUGUCUGAGGAAGAGCUGCUGAUGGCUUGCGCUUUUCCUAAAAUAUUUUUCUUUGUAUGGACAACAGCCUCCCCGGAGCCCAAGGUAGCUGCUCUUCAAUAUGCAAUAUCACUAUUGCCACGGAAUAACAUUCCAGCAUGGCAAUGAUAUGGUUCAACUAGUAGUAAUAAUAAUAUAAUCGUUGUUUGCACAGAUGAAAGCAGUAAAUGAUGUGAAAUGGAAAG